AAUGAACGCUGGCGGCAGGCCUAACACAUGCAAGUCGAGCGGAUGAAGGGAGCUUGCUCCUGGAUUCAGCGGCGGACGGGUGAGUAAUGCCUAGGAAUCUGCCUUGGAGUGGGGGAUAACGUCCGGAAACGGGCGCUAAUACCGCAUACGUCCUGAGGGAGAAAGAGGGGGAUCUUCGGACCUCACGCUAUCAUAUGAGGCUAGGUCGGAUUAGCUAGUUGGUGGGGUAAAGGCCUACCAAGGCGGCGAUCCGUAACUGGUCUGAGAGGAUGAUCAGUCACACUGGAACUGAGACACGGUCCAGACUCCUACGGGAGGCAGCAGUGGGGAAUCUUGGACAAUGGGCGAAAGCCUGAUCCAGCCAUGCCGCGUGUGUGAAGAAGGUCUUCGGAUUGUAAAGCACUUUAAGUUGGGAGGAAGGGCAGUAAGUUAAUACCUUGCUGUUUUGACGUUACCAACAGAAUAAGCACCGGCUAACUUCGUG
rnacentral:rRNA from 1 species